UGAAUACGAGAUGCUACGGCGUCGAAGCAGUCUAUGUCAUACUUCCAAGAAAAGCUUGCACUGUCAUAAACAAAUAAUGCCUGUACCAUAACCGACACAGGUGGGUAGGUAGAGUAUACUAAGGGGCGCGAGAUAACUCUCUCUAAGGAACUCGGCAAAAUGACUCCGUAACUUCGGGAGAAGGAGUGCCUUAUUUAUAAGGUUGCAAUAACAAGAUCCAAGCAACUGUUUACCAAAAACACAGGUCUCCGCUAAGUCGUAAGACGAUGUAUGGGGGCUGACGCCUGCCCAGUGCCAGAAGGUUAAAGAAGUUGGUUAGCAUCCGCGAAGCUGAUAACUGAAGCCCUGGUGAACGGCGGCCGUAACAAUAACGGUCCUAAGGUAGCGAAAUUCCUUGUCGGGUAAGUUCCGACCCGCACGAAAGGCGUAAUGAUUUGGAUACUGUCUCGGAGAGGGGCUCGGUGAAAUAGACUUGUCUGUGAAGAUGCGGACUACCUGCACCAGGACAGAAAGACCCUAUGAAGCUUUACUGUAACCUGAAAUUGAAAUUGGACUUUACUUGCGCAGUAUAGGUGGGAGGCGUUGAGAAUAUUCUUGCGGGAUUAUUGGAGCCAUCAGUGAGAUACCACUCUUGUAAUGUUAGAUUUCUAACUUUGUAUCAUUAUCUGGUCAAAGAACAGUUUCAGGCGGGCAGUUUGACUGGGGCGGUCGCCUCCUAAACGGUAACGGAGGCGCACAAAGGUUUCCUCUGAACGGGUAGAAAUCGUAUCUAGAGUGUAAAGGCAUAAGGAAGCUUGACUGUGAGACCUACAAGUCGAGCAGGGACGAAAGUCGGUCUUAGUGAUCUGACGGUGCUGAGUGGAAAGGCCGUCACUCAACGGAUAAAAGUUACUCUAGGAUAACAGGCUGAUCUCCCCCAAGAGUUCACAUCGACGGGGAGGUUUGGCACCUCGAUGUCGGCUCAUCGCAUCCUGGGGCGGUAGUACGUCCCAAGGGUUGGGCUGUUCGCCCAUGAAAGCGGUACGCGAGCUGGGUUCAGAACGUCGUGAGACAGUUCGGUCCAUAUCCGGUGUAGGCGUUAGAAUAUUGAGAGGAGCCUUCUUUAGUACGAGAGGACCGAGAAGGACUUACCUCUGGUGUACCAGUUAUCGUGCCAACGGUAAACGCUGGGUAGCUAUGUGUGGAGUGGAUAACCGCUGAAAGCAUCUAAGUGGGAAGCCCACCUCAAGAUAAGUAUUCUCA
rnacentral:rRNA from 1 species